UACGUAGGGCGCAAGCGUUAUCCGGAAUUAUUGGGCGUAAAGAGCUCGUAGGCGGUUUGUCGCGUCUGCUGUGAAAAGACCGGGGCUCAACUCCGGUUCUGCAGUGGGUACGGGCAGACUAGAGUGCAGUAGGGGGAGACUGGAAUUCCUGGUGUAGCGGUGAAAUGCGCAGAUAUCAGGAGGAACACCGAUGGCGAAGGCAGGUCUCCUGGGCUGUAACUGACGCUGGAGGAGCGAAAGCAUGGGGAGCGAACAGG
rnacentral:rRNA from 1 species